GACGAACGCUGGCGGCGUGCCUAAUACAUGCAAGUCGAGCGAAUGGAUGGGAGCUUGCUCCCUGAAGUUAGCGGCGGACGGGUGAGUAACACGUGGGCAACCUGCCUGUAAGACUGGGAUAACUUCGGGAAACCGGAGCUAAUACCGGAUACAUUCUUUCUUCGCCUGAAGAAAGAUGGAAAGAUGGUUUCGGCUAUCACUUACAGAUGGGCCCGCGGCGCAUUAGCUAGUUGGUGAGGUAACGGCUCACCAAGGCAACGAUGCGUAUCCGACCUGAGAGGGUGAUCGGCCACACUGGGACGGAGACACGGCCCAGACUCCUACGGGAGGCAGAAGUAGGGAAUCUUCCGCAAUGGACGAAAGUCUGACGGAGCAACGCCGCGUGAGCGAAGAAGGCCUUCGGGUCGUAAAGCCCUGUUGUUAGGGAAGAACAAGUACCAGAGUAACUGCUGGUACCUUGACGGUACCUAACCAGAAAGCCACGGCUAACUACGUGCCAGCCGCCGCGGUAAGAC
rnacentral:rRNA from 1 species